UCGGGUGUGGCUUACGGAACACCGCUGGCUUCUUUCAAUAUAACGAACAGCGGAGCCGCAGACCGGGGUUCGACUCCCCGCGCCUGAA